rnacentral:rRNA from 1 species
UACGUAGGGUGCGAGCGUUGUCCGGAAUUACUGGGCGUAAAGAGCUCGUAGGUGGUUUGUCGCGUUGUCCGUGAAAACUCACAACUCAAUUGUGGGCGUGCGGGCGAUACGGGCAGACUGGAGUACUGCAGGGAGACUGGAAUUCCUGGUGUAGCGGUGAAAUGCGCAGAUAUCAGGAGGAACACCGGUGGCGAAGGCGGGUCUCUGGCCGAUACUGACGCUGAGGAGCGAAAGCGUGGGAGCGAACAGG